rnacentral:rRNA from 1 species
ACCCACAGCCACAUAACUCUGCAGCCCAAGACUGGUUACUCACUGAGGCUAAGCAAGACUGAGCCUGGUCAGUGCCUGGAUGGGAGACCUCGAUAGAAAACUGGGUUGCUGUAGGAA